ACACGACUACAUUAGAUACCCCCGUAGUCCCAGCCGUAAACUAUGCUCGCUAGGUGUCAGGCAUGGCGCGACCGUGUCUGGUGCCGCAGGGAAGCCGUGAAGCGAGCCACCUGGGAAGUACGGCCGCAAGGCUGAAACUUAAAGGAAUUGGCGGGGAGCACCACAACGGGUGGAGCCUGCGGUUUAAUUGGACUCAACGCCGGGAAGCUCACCGGAUAAGACAGCGGAAUGAUUGCCGGGCUGAAGACUCUGCAUGACUAGCUG
rnacentral:rRNA from 1 species